AUUGAACGCUGGCGGCAUGCCUUACACAUGCAAGUCGAACGGUAACGCGGGGCAACCUGGCGACGAGUGGCGAACGGGUGAGUAAUGUAUCGGAACGUGCCCAGUUGUGGGGGAUAACUGCUCGAAAGAGCAGCUAAUACCGCAUACGACCUGAGGGUGAAAGCGGGGGAUCGCAAGACCUCGCGCCAUUGGAGCGGCCGAUAUCAGAUUAGGUAGUUGGUGGGGUAAGGCUCACCAAGCCGACGAUCUGUAGCUGGUCUGAGAGGACGACCAGCCACGCUGGGACUGAGACACGGCCCAGACUCCUACGGGAGGCAGCAGUGGGGAAUUUUGGACAAUGGACGCAAGUCUGAUCCAGCCAUGCCGCGUGCGGGAAGAAGGCCUUCGGGUUGUAAACCGCUUUUGUCAGGGAAGAAAAGGCUCCUUCUAAUAUAGGGGGCUCAUGACGGUACCUGAAGAAUAAGCACCGGCUAACUACGUGCCAGCAGCCGCCGUAA
rnacentral:rRNA from 1 species